UCAUGGGGAUGUUUAGCUAUAGUUUGACAUGGUACUGAUAAUGCCAAGGUUGCAGGUUCGAUCCCUGUAUUGGACUGCUGUGAA